UCCAGACUUGACAGUCAGCACGACAAACACUUAAUGACUCCUGACUUCCGGGAGGCGUCAUACUUCACACCCGAUGGGCUACAGUCUGUAGUGGGUCUGCUCCUCCCCAUGUUCGUGAAAGACUGGCAGAGGUAUACUCGUAAAGUUUUAUUCUCCCAUCUUCUUCUGCUCAUUCGUAAGGGCUUCCAGACACACAUAACUUACUGAUAGUCGGACUCUGAAAGAAGCUCCUCCAAGAACGCCUGCUGGUUGCUGGCUUGUUUGGUGACUUGGAGAUGGUGGUAUGUUGGGAUGAUGCCCAGGAGGUCCAGGAAUAGACCUUGCAGAAGAAUAUGCCCUGGGUGGCUGCUGGGCCCAGAACGAUGAGAUUGGAGCCAACCUGAACCCAACCCGCAACGUGGAGAUGAUCCCGGCCAACCCAGAGAACUGUGCGUGAGAAAAAUAAAUGUUCACAGGGGUUGGCAUAAUUUUUCCUGUAAAGGGUCAGACAGUCUCAGAUGCACUUUCUCAACUCUGCCCCUGCAGCGCAGAGGGAGCCACAAACAACACAGAAGCACAUGAACGUGCCUGGGUCCAAUAAAACUUUAUUUGUAGACACUAAAAUUGGAAAUUCACAUAAUUCUUUGUGUCAGGAAAUAUUCCUUUAUUGAUUUUUUUUAACCAUUUAAAAACAUAAACUAUUCUUAGCUCAUGGGCUACGGAAAAGUAGGCAGUAGGCUGGAAGUGUCUCACUGGCAGGAGUUUGCCCAGCUUUGCUGUAAGCCAUGGAGAUGUGUGAACUUUCUUUGUUACGGAGCAAAACUGAUUAAUAUACCCUUCCAUUUGUGCAAUCUUGAGCAAAUUACUC